AUGCUGUCAUCCUGACUUCUGUGGACAAGAAAGUGACUAGGAAAGAACAGGUGGCCUGCCCAAGGUCCACGGAGAGCUUUCCUGCCACGAAGUUUGAUACUUUCCAUUAAGUCACCUGGUUCCAUUGUCCACAAAUGGCACCCACCAAGAAGCCCUUCAGAGACAUUUGGGAGAAGAGCUGGCUGAAUAAAUUUUAAGUUUUCUUCAGUUUACUUAGGGAAGUAUGAAAUUAUUCAAGCUUUUCAAAAAUUAGGACAUUUUCAUUAUGUCAGAUUGGAAACUCACGAACAAGCCUUGUAAAUUAAGUCCUCCAUCUGACUGAACAUAGAAAGCAGUGCUUAAAAUGAUAGCAUUGUUAUCAUGCUAUAAUUGAUCUGGGACUAUUCUCCAUAUUCAUCUCAAUAAAAAUAUAAAUAGCUUUUGAAUUUUUCCCUCCAAACUGUUCAUCAUUCUGCUGUUAAGCAGUAAAUGGUUUUGGAAGAGCUGUUUGGAGUAAGGAUACAACUGAAAGUGGACUCAUGGUAGAUGGCUGACAUUGCUAACCCAGUAUCCUGUUAUAAAUAUGCUAAUGUAACAUGCUUGGCAGGAGAUGGAAUUUUUAACAUAGAGCAUACUGAUGCAUAAUUACUUUAUUCCAUAUAGCUAUUUCACAGAAUUCAGCAUGCCCUUCUGAUUUUGGCAAACCAGAGUGAUUUCUAAAUCCCUCCCUGCUAUUUAGAAGGACUCUGAUUGACUUUGCCGUGCUUACCAACAUUGUGGGUCAGAGUUGGAGGUGUUCAGGAGAGAAAGACAAAAGGUCACAGAUGGGUGGCCCAUGGAAAGUGCUAAAUGCCUGUGCCCCUGACCUGUGUAAGAUCUGAUUAGGCUUGUCAGAUGCAAAGCUGCUGGGAGCCUGAGCAGGGAGAGCCUUGCAUAAGGAAGAAGCAAUUCAGGGGAGAGUGCUGUGGUUAUAUUCCUAUGAAAUUGGACACUUUACGAAGUUUGUUACAUUUCUUCAGUAAAUGUAGCAAGAUCAUUGUUUCCAAGGCUGGUGGUAAUGGCUCCCAGUUCUGAAGGAUAAGGAAGCUUCCACUCAGCCAACUUUUACCCCACAGGAAGCACCAGUGUCCAUCAUUACGGUCAGUGUUGAUGCUGUCUUUACUUCCAUAAUAAACACAUUAACCAAGAGAAAGGUUAGCUGCAGUUAGAAG
ensembl:lincRNA